rnacentral:rRNA from 1 species
CUCAGUUCGGAUUGUAGUCUGCAACUCGACUACAUGAAGCUGGAAUCGCUAGUAAUCGCGAAUCAGAAUGUCGCGGUGAAUACGUUCCCGGGUCUUGUACACACCGCCCGUCACACCAUGGGAGUCGGAAAUGCCCGAAGUCAGUGACCUAACCGAAAGGGAGGAGCUGCCGAAGGUGGAGCCGGUAACUGGGGUGAAGUCGUAACAAGGUAAC